GACAGAGGGUGCAAACGUUGUUCGGAAUUACUGGGCGUAAAGCGCGUGUAGGCGGCUUGGAUAGUCGGGUGUGAAAGCCCGGGGCUCAACCCCGGAGUGCAUUCGAUACUGCCAACGCUGGAGUCCCGGACGAGGAUGGUGGAACUCUCGGUGUAGAGGUGAAAUUACGUGAUAUCGAGAAGAACAUCGGUGGCGAAGGCGGCCAUCUGGACGGUGACUGACGCUGAGACGCGAAAGCGUGGGGAGC
rnacentral:rRNA from 1 species